UACGUAGGUGGCAAGCGUUGUCCGGAAUUAUUGGGCGUAAAGCGCGCGCAGGUGGUUCCUUAAGUCUGAUGUGAAAGCCUACGGCUCAACCGUGGAGGGUCAUUGGAAACUGGGGAACUUGAGUGCAGAAGAGGAAAGUGGAAUUCCAAGUGUAGCGGUGAAAUGCGUAGAGAUUUGGAGGAACACCAGUGGCGAAGGCGACUUUCUGGUCUGUAACUGACACUGAGGCGCGAAAGCGUGGGGAGCAAACAGG
rnacentral:rRNA from 1 species